AGCGAACGCUGGCGGCAGGCCUAACACAUGCAAGUCGAACGAAGUCUUCGGACCUAGUGGCGGACGGGUGAGUAACACGUGGGAACGUGCCUUUAGGUUCGGAAUAACUCAGGGAAACUUGUGCUAAUACCGAAUGUGCCCUUCGGGGGAAAGAUUUAUCGCCUUUAGAGCGGCCCGCGUCUGAUUAGCUAAUUGGUGAGGUAAAGGCUCACCAAGGCUACGAUCAGUAGCUGGUCUGAGAGGAUGACCAGCCACAUUGGGACUGAGACACGGCCCAAACUCCUACGGGAGGCAGCAGUGGGGAAUCUUGCGCAAUGGGCGAAAGCCUGACGCAGCCAUGCCGCGUGGAUGAUGAAGGUCUUAGGAUUGUAAAAUCCUUUCACCGGUGAAGAUAAUGACUGUAGCCGGAGAAGAAGCCCCGGCUAACUUCGUGCCAGCAGCCGCCGUAAAAC
rnacentral:rRNA from 1 species